UCCCUGGUGGCUCAGAUGGUAAAGCGUCUGCCUGCAAUGCAGGAGACCUGGGUUUGAUUCCUGGGUAGGGAA
rnacentral:tRNA from 1 species